AAUGUCGUAACAAGGUUUCCGUAGGUGAACCUGCGGAAGGAUCAUUAUUGAAUUGUGAAUGGGGCUUGAUGCUGGCUUGUCCAUCCUUUGGCUGCAUGUGCUCGCCCGAGCAAGUCCUUUUGCCAAAUCACCUGUGCACCUUCCUUGUGAGAAUUGGGCAGAGAAAUGGGCCUUGCCUCUUUUGAUCUCGUCUCAUGAUUUCAUAAACGCUGUUUGUAAUGUUGAAUGCAUUUAUGCCGUCAAGGCUUUAACCUAAUACAA
rnacentral:misc_RNA from 1 species